CGUAGGUGAACCUGCGGAGGGAUCAUUACACAAAUAUGAAGGCGGGCUGGAAUCUCUCGGGGUUACAGCCUUGCUGAAUUAUUCACCCUUGUCUUUUGCGUACUUCUUGUUUCCUUGGUGGGUUCGCCCACCACUAGGACAAACAUAAACCUUUUGUAAUUGCAAUCAGCGUCAGUAACAAAUUAAUAAUUACAACUUUCAACAACGGAUCUCUUGGUUCUGGCAUCGAUGAAGAACGCAGCGAAAUGCGAUAAGUAGUGUGAAUUGCAGAAUUCAGUGAAUCAUCGAAUCUUUGAACGCACAUUGCGCCCUUUGGUAUUCCAAAGGGCAUGCCUGUUCGAGCGUCAUUUGUACCCUCAAGCUUUGCUUGGUGUUGGGCGUCUUGUCUCUAGCUUUGCUGGAGACUCGCCUUAAAGUAAUUGGCAGCCGGCCUACUGGUUUCGGAGCGCAGCACAAGUCGCACUCUCUAUCAGCAAAGGUCUAGCAUCCAUUAAGCCUUUUUUCAACUUUUGACCUCGGAUCAGGUAGGGAUACCCGCUGAACUUAAGCAUAUCAAUAAGCGGAGGA
rnacentral:rRNA from 2 species